AGAGUUUGAUCAUGGCUCAGGAUGAACGCUGGCGGCGUGCCUAACACAUGCAAGUCGAACGAAGCAUAGGGAACGGAGAUUCGUCAAAGGGAACUAUGACUUAGUGGCGGACGGGUGAGUAAUGUGUGAGCAACCUGCCUUUCAGUGGGGGACAACAGUUGGAAACGACUGCUAAUACCGCAUAAAGUACCGAGGGGGCAUCCCCAUGGUACCAAAGGAGCAAUUCGCUGAAAGAUGGGCUCACAUCUGAUUAGCUAGUUGGUAGGGUAAAGGCCUACCAAGGCUUCGAUCAGUAGCCGGACUGAGAGGUCGAACGGCCACAUUGGGACUGAGAUACGGCCCAGACUCCUACGGGAGGCAGCAGUGGGGAAUAUUGGGCAAUGGGCGAAAGCCUGACCCAGCAACGCCGCGUGAAGGAAGAAGGUCUUCGGAUUGUAAACUUCUUUUAUGAGGGACGAACAAAAUGACGGUACCUCAUGAAUAAGCCACGGCUAACUACGUGCCAGCAGCCGCGGUAAUACGUAGGUGGCAAGCGUUAUCCGGAUUUACUGGGUGUAAAGGGCGCGUAGGCGGGGAUGCAAGUCAGAUGUGAAAUCUAUGGGCUUAACCCAUAAACUGCAUUUGAAACUGUGUCUCUUGAGUGUCGGAGAGGUAGGUGGAAUUCCUUGUGUAGCGGUGAAAUGCGUAGAUAUAAGGAAGAACACCAGUGGCGAAGGCGAUCUACUGGACGAUAACUGACGCUGAGGCGCGAAAGCGUGGG
rnacentral:rRNA from 1 species